GAUGAACGCUGGCGGCGUGCUUAACACAUGCAAGUCGAACGAAGCACUUAUGAGUUUUCGGACAAGUAAGUGACUGAGUGGCGGACGGGUGAGUAACGCGUGGGUAACCUGGCCUAUACAGGGGGAUAACAGCUGGAAACGGCUGCUAAUACCGCAUAAGCGCACAGUGCUGCAUGGCACAGUGUGAAAAGCGCAACGGUAUAGGAUGGACCCGCGUCUGAUUAGCUAGUUGGUGAGGUAAUGGCUCACCAAGGCGACGAUCAGUAGCCGACCUGAGAGGGUGACCGGCCACAUUGGGACUGAGACACGGCCCAAACUCCUACGGGAGGCAGCAGUGGGGAAUAUUGCACAAUGGGCGAAAGCCUGAUGCAGCGACGCCGCGUGA
rnacentral:rRNA from 1 species